ensembl:snRNA U6 U6 spliceosomal RNA
CUGCUCACUUCGGCAGCACAUAUACUAAAAUUGGAACGAUACAGAGAAGAUUUGCAUGGCCCCUGUGCAAGGAUGACACGCAAAUUCAUGAAGUGUUCCAUAUUAAA